UACGAGGGGGGCGAGCGUUGUUCGGAAUUAUUGGGCGUAAAGGGUGCGUAGGCGGUUUGGUAAGUCUUGUGUGAAAUCUACAGGCUCAACUUGUAGUCUGCACGAGAAACUGCCGGGCUUGAGUAUGGGAGAGGUGAGUGGAAUUCCUGGUGUGGCGGUGAAAUGCGUAGAUAUCAGGAGGAACACCUGUGGCGAAAGCGGCUCACUGGACCAUAACUGACGCUGAUGCACGAAAGCUAGGGGAGCAAACAGG
rnacentral:rRNA from 1 species